rnacentral:lncRNA from 1 species
UAAAGUGAGACACAAAACAUCAGUCAAGGGGGCAAAGUGAGUCACUUUAACUUUAAGGGGGUUUAGUGGGAAUUGACCAAUGUUUCAAGGGCACUGUAGUACUUAAGCCUUUAUUUAUUUAUUCUUUUUCAGUAUUUACUCAAAUAGUCCUCAAAUUUAUACCCGAUUUAUAUUUUGGUCCCUAAACUAAAUUAUUUCUUGAAAUGGUCCACC